UAUGUGAUCGUCUCUCGCAUAUCAAUAAGCGGAGGAAAAGAAACUAACAAGGAUUCCCCUAGUAACGGCGAGUGAAGCGGGAAGAGCUCAAAUUUGAAAUCUUAAAGGGUUUCCCUUUACGAAUUGUAGUUUAAAGAAGUGUUUUCUGUUGAGGUUUUGGUAAAAGUUCUUUGGAAUAGGACAUCAUAGAGGGUGAGAAUCCCGUAUUUGACCUUUACUUUCAACUUUGUGAUACACUUUCAAAGAGUCGGAUUGUUUGGGAAUGCAGUUCCAAAAUGGGUGGUAAAUUUCAUCUAAAGCUAAAUAUUGGCGAGAGACCGAUAGCGAACAAGUACCGUGAGGGAAAGAUGAAAAGAACUUUGAAAAGAGAGUUAAACAGUACGUGAAAUUGUCAAAAGGGAAGCGUUUGACACCAGUGUUGUUUUUCUGAAAAUCAAUUAAAGAACUGUUUAUGCUAAGUUGUUUAGACUUUAUCAGCUAACUGUUUAGUUUUGAGUUUUUCUUUAAUGCACUUUUCAGUUAACAAGUCAACAUCAAUUUCUUUUGCUGUAAAAAAGCUUGAGGAAGGUGGCUUGAGAUUCGUCUUAAGUGUUUAUAGCCUCUUGCCUAUGCAGUCGGAGAGAUUGAGGUCUGCAGCGUAGACUCCUUCGGGGCUAGAUACAUUUGUGCUAAGUUAUAGCAUUUUAUAGACAACUUGUUGACUAUGAUUUGUCUUGUAGCUUACUCGCUUAUGUUAUUUUACCUACGCUUAGGAUGUUGAGUCGUAGAGCACGCAG
rnacentral:rRNA from 1 species